rnacentral:SRP_RNA from 2 species
GCUGGGUGUGGUGGUGUGCACCUGUAGUCUCAGUUACUUGGGAGGCUGAGGCAGGAGAAUUGCUUGAGCCCAGGAGUUUGAGGCUGCAGUGAGCUAUGAUUGUGCCACUGUACUCCAGCCUGGUUGACAGAGUGAGACUCUGUCUCUA